rnacentral:lncRNA from 1 species
CGGAAAUCAAUCCGUAAUCUAACCAGCAAAAAUAAGGAAAAGGAAAAAGAAGGAAAAAGAAUAUAAAAAUGCAGUCAAUUAAAAAAAAAUGCAGUCAAUUGUAUGACUCAACAUAUUCACUCCCAAAAUGACUGCCUUAGGCAAAAUCAUGGAAGUGAAAACUCACAAGGUUUAUAGGAAAAAUGGGGUGAUGACUAUGGUCCUUAAAACCUUUAUCACUGGUGAUAAGAAGAUUGUAACCUAAUUAAAAAUGGGCGGGACAGCUUUAUACAUGCUAAGUUGUUAAAAUAACACGAAAACACUUUAGCAAAUAUGUUAGAUUAUCUUAAAAAGACUGCAGUUUGCUGGUGAAAGUGGGAGCUGGAGCUGGAGUGGUUGCAGAGUGACCUUCUGUGAAGGGAUAGAGGGAGGGUUAUCAGCAUUUGCAGUCUUUGGCAGCAGUAAAUCUGGAAGCGUGUUUGCCUUUGAGAUGUGGGUCCUUCAAGGCACAUGUUCAUGAGAGAUCCUUGUUUCAUCAGUAUUUAAAAUUUCAUCCGAUGCCUGGCCUUCUUUUUGACUGACUUGUGUAUUCCUGCUGGACAGGCACCAUCUGUGGGUUUCUCACGUGCACUCACAGCUUUGCCCACAGGGGAUUGCAGUGAUGUUCGGAACCACCAAAACAGUCGCCUCGUAGCAUUAAAAGGAGCCAAGUCUGCAGGGUUUGGUCUUGUCCUUAUCGACUUUCACAGCACUUGGAGUCGUCCCAGGCACAAACACUUAUUUUUGGUUAAGGCCAGCCAGUAGUUUUCUGCCUUUAAGGAUAUUCAUGAAAUGAUUCAUAAGAAAACAUGAAACUUAUUUCCAAAUUUUUCCAUAACAUGUCAAUCAUGUUGGAACAAAUUCAUAUUUUAAAAUAAUCACCAUAGCAGAACUGACUGUAUAUGAUAAAUAANGUCUUGAAGAUAAAAUCAAUAGGAUUUUCUAAUGGAUUGGAUGUAAGAUAAGAGAGAGAGAGAAAGGUAAUUAAUGAUUUCA